GGGUUGUGAGGUUAAGCGACUAAGCGUACACGGUGGGAUGCCCGCAGUCAGAGGCGAUGAAGGACGUGCUAAUCUGCGAUAAGCGUCGGUGAGGUGAUAUGAACCGUUAUAACCGGCGAUUUCCGAAUGGGGAAACCCAGUGUGAUUCGUCACACUAUCAUUAACUGAAUCCAUAGGUUAAUGAGGCGAACCGGGGGAACUGAAACAUCUAAGUACCCCGAGGAAAAGAAAUCAACCGAGAUUCCCCCAGUAGCGGCGAGCGAACGGGGAGGAGCCCAGAGCCUGAAUCAGUGUGUGUGUUAGUGGAAGCGUCUGGAAAGGCGUGCGAUACAGGGUGACAGCCCCGUACACAAAAAUGCACAUAUUGUGAGCCUCAUGAGUAGGGCGGGACACGUGGUAUCCUGUCUGAAUAUGGGGACCAUCCUCCAAGGCUAAAUACUCCUGACUGACCGAUAGUGAACCAGUACCGUGAGGGAAAGGCGAAAAGAACCCCGGCGAGGGGAGUGAAAAAGAACCUGAAACCGUGUACGUACAAGCAGUGGGAGCCUCUUAAUGGGGUGACUGCGUACCUUUUGUAUAAUGGGUCAGCGACUUAUAUUCUGUAGCAAGGUUAACCGAAUAGGGGAGCCGAAGGGAAACCGAGUCUUAACUGGGCGUUAAGUUGCAGGGUAUAGACCCGAAACCCGGUGAUUCAGCCAUGGGCAGGUUGAAGGUUGGGUAACACUAACUGGAGGACCGAACCGACUAAUGUUGAAAAAUUAGCGGAUGACUUGUGGCUGGGGGUGAAAGGCCAAUCAAACCGGGAGAUAGCUGGUUCUCCCCGAAAGCUAUUUAGGUAGCGCCUCGUGAAUUCAUCUCCGGGGGUAGAGCACUGUUUCGGCAAGGGGGUCAUCCCGACUUACCAACCCGAUGCAAACUGCGAAUACCGGAGAAUGUUAUCACGGGAGACACACGGCGGGUGCUAACGUCCGUCGUGAAGAGGGAAACAACCCAGACCGCCAGCUAAGGUCCCAAAGUCAUGGUUAAGUGGGAAACGAUGUGGGAAGGCCCAGACAGCCAGGAUGUUGGCUUAGAAGCAGCCAUCAUUUAAAGAAAGCGUAAUAGCUCACUGGUCGAGUCGGCCUGCGCGGAAGAUGUAACGGGGCUAAACCAUGCACCGAAGCUGCGGCAGCGACACUAUGUGUUGUUGGGUAGGGGAGCGUUCUGUAAGCCCGUGAAGGUGGCCUGUGAGGGUUGCUGGAGGUAUCAGAAGUGCGAAUGCUGACAUAAGUAACGAUAAAGCGGGUGAAAAGCCCGCUCGCCGGAAGACCAAGGGUUCCUGUCCAACGUUAAUCGGGGCAGGGUGAGUCGACCCCUAAGGCGAGGCCGAAAGGCGUAGUCGAUGGGAAACAGGUUAAUAUUCCUGUACUUGGUGUUACUGCGAAGGGGGGACGGAGAAGGCUAUGUUGGCCGGGCGACGGUUGUCCCGGUUUAAGCGUGUAGGCUGGUUUUCCAGGCAAAUCCGGAAAAUCAAGGCUGAGGCGUGAUGACGAGGCACUACGGUGCUGAAGCGACAAAUGCCCUGCUUCCGGAAAAAAGCCUCUAAGCAUCAGGUAACAUCAAAUCGUACCCCCCAAACCGACACAGGUGGUCAGGUAGAGAAUACCAAGGCGCUUGAGAGAACUCGGGUGAAGGAACUAGGCAAAAUGGUGCCGUAACUUCGGGAGAGAAGGCACGCUGAUAUGUAGGUGAAGCGACUUGCUCGUGGAGCUGAAAUCAGUCGAAGAUACCAGCUGGCUGCAACUGUUUAUUAAAAACACAGCACUGUGCAAACACGAAAGUGGACGUAUACGGUGUGACGCCUGCCCGGUGCCGGAAGGUUAAUUGAUGGGGUUAGCGGUAACGCGAAGCUCUUGAUCGAAGCCCUGGUAAACGGCGGCCGUAACUAUAACGGUCCUAAGGUAGCGAAAUUCCUUGUCGGGUAAGUUCCGACCUGCACGAAUGGCGUAAUGAUGGCGUGCUGUCUCCCACCCGAGACUCAGUGAAAUUGAACUCGCUGUGAAGAUGCAGUGUACCCGCGGCAAGACGGAAAGACCCCGUGAACCUUUACUAUAGCUUGACACUGAACAUUGAGCCUUGAUGUGUAGGAUAGGUGGGAGGCUUUGAAGUGUGGACGCCAGUCUGCAUGGAGCCGACCUUGAAAUACCACCCUUUAAUGUUUGAUGUUCUAACGUGGGCCCCUUUACCGGGUUGCGGACAGUGUCUGGUGGUAGUUUGAUCUGGGGCGGUCUCCUCCUAAAGAGUAACGGAGGAGCACGAAGGUUGGCUAAUCUCGGUCGGACAUCAGGAGGUUAGUGCAAUGGCAUAAGCCAGCUUGACUGCGAGCGUGACGGCGCGAGCAGGUGCGAAAAGCAGGUCAUAGUGAUCCGGUGGUUCUGAAUGGAAGGGCCAUCGCUCAACGGAUAAAAGGUACCCGGGGAUAACAGGCUGAUACCGCCCAAGAGUUCAUAUCGACGGCGGUGUUUGGCACCCUCGAUGUCGGCUCAUCACAUCCCGGGGCUGAAGUAGGUCCCAAGGGUAUGGCUGUUCGCCAUUUAAAGUGGUACGCGAGCUGGGUUUUAGAACGUCGUGAGACAGUUCGGUCCCCAUUCUGCCGUGGGCGCUGGAGAACUGAGGGGGGGCUGCUCCUAGUACGAGAGGACCGGAGUGGACGCAUCACUGGUGUUCGGGUUGUCAUGCCAAUGGCACUGCCCGGUAGCUAAAUGCGGAAGAGAUAAGUGCUGAAAGCAUCUAAGCACGAAACUUGCCCCGAGAUGAGUUCUCCCUGACUCCUUGAGAGUCCUGAAGGAACGUUGAAGACGACGACGUUGAUAGGCCGGGUGUGUAAGCGCAGCGAUGCGUUGAGCUAACCGGUACUAAUGAACCGUGAGGCUUAACCUUACAACGCCGAAG
rnacentral:rRNA from 1 species